GUAUCAAGUAAGAAAAGUUUUCACGUAACAUGAUGAACGCAUGGGAUUCUUAGUUUACAUAUGCUACCCUAAAAUUUUUUGACCGUAUUCGAGUGCAACGAACCCGUUGUCAAUUGCAGUCCUCUUGAUGUCAUUAUCCAAGUGAAGUAUGGAAGCUGAUUUAUGAUAAGUGGUACGAGAUGCAUUAUAUGCAGCCCAGAGUUCAGUCGAGAGGCAGCACUUCAUCAGUGAGGUUGUAAAACUUCACCGUAAAACUUUCCCGAACGUUUUGCUGAAGUUUCUCGUUCAUCAUUUGAGACAAAACAGAAGCGCGGAAGGGAGCGUUUCCACUGAAGAUGUCAUCGUUGUUUAAUAAAACUUCAUCAAAUGUUAAAAUUCGCGAUGGCACUAAAGGCUUCAGUUUUAAUGUCGAAGGAAAAUUGCUGCAAAUUCUAUCGAGCAGCGCGUCAGGUGGAAGUGAGAUAAAGUGGUUUCGGUUGCACCUGGGCGUCUGUUCUAAAUCAUCAACAAUUAUGAAUCAACAUCAAAAAUCUUAUUCGAUCCGAGAGCAGAGAAUGAAACGGGAUAUGUCAUUGAAAUGGAUCUGGAUCAGCUGUGGGAAACGAUGUUGGGUUGCGCUGAGAGUGAUGGAGGAUCUUUGGGUGAUGUGAAACUGUACAAAGUUCCUCUGCAGAGGUACCAGGAUUCUCCAAGGCUUGACGCUUUUUUGGACGCCCUCGAUGCUUAUCAUAUGUUCGUAAUCUUGAGCAUUGGGAAAGCUUGGUGGUCUUUUGAGAGAUAUGACGAGUUCUUCUUGGUGCAAAGGAGUCUCCAAGAAAGCGCAGUCAGUGAGAAGUCAAUGAAAGAAGAUCGUGUUAAAGCCUCCUCUCAGUUGACAAUUACACCUAAACUGACUCUUGGUUUGAGCGAUAACCUGAAAAACGUAGAUGAUCUCAUCUCAGUUUGGAAGAAAACGUUUAUGGCAAUAAGUGAAAAGCCAUACGACGUCUUGCACAACAACUGCCAGGAUUUCGUAAAGAAACUCCUAUUGAAAAUGAAUUACAAAUCUAAAUUUUCCAAGUUAAAGAUUAUAUUUAUUGGGAAAAUUCCUGCCGAUAUUUUCAUGGAUCUUUGAAGAGCGAGUGAGGGGAGUAUUACAGAUCGCGGUCACUUGUUCGAAUUUGUCUUUAUUUGUGGUUAAGAGUAACGCAACAGCUGAGCUACGCCUUAGGCAUUUUGUAUGUCAUUUUCCUUCGUUUGUUUAUAUUACGGCAAAAUAUAGUUAGUUACAAGUGCUCUAUUGUCCUGUAAUUUAAUUUUUAGUUAUUCUAGAGUGGAAAUAUGCGUUUAAAAAUUACAUCUUAAUGACCACACUUCUUAAGAAUCCAGUAUUUUUGAUGAUACACA